GACGAACGCUGGCGGCGUGCUUAACACAUGCAAGUCGAACGGAAAGGCCCUGCUUUUGUGGGGUGCUCGAGUGGCGAACGGGUGAGUAACACGUGAGUAACCUGCCCUUGACGUUGGGAUAACUUCAGGAAACUGGGGCUAAUACCGGAUAGGAGCUCCUGCUGCAUGGUGGGGGUUGGAAAGUUUCGGCGGUUGGGGAUGGACUCGCGGGUUAUCAGCUUGUGGGUGGGGUAGUGGCUUACCAAGGCUUUGACGGGUAGCCGGCCUGAGAGGGUGACCGGCCACAUUGGGACUGAGAUACGGCCCAGACUCCUACGGGAGGCAGCAGUGGGGAAUAUUGCACAAUGGGCGGAAGCCUGAUGCAGCAACGCCGCGUGCGGGAUGACGGCCUUCGGGUUGUAAACCGCUUUCGCCUGUGACGAAGCGUGAGUGACGGUAAUGGGUAAAGAAGCACCGGCUAACUACGUG
rnacentral:rRNA from 1 species